AGAGUUUGAUCCUGGCUCAGAUUGAACGCUGGCGGAAUGCUUUACACAUGCAAGUCGAACGGCAGCACGGGAGCUUGCUCCUGGUGGCGAGUGGCGAACGGGUGAGUAAUGCGUCGGAACGUACCGAGUAAUGGGGGAUAACGCAGCGAAAGUUGUGCUAAUACCGCAUACGCCCCGAGGGGGAAAGCAGGGGAUCGCAAGACCUUGCGUUAUUCGAGCGGCCGACGUCUGAUUAGCUAGUUGGUGGGGUAAUGGCCCACCAAGGCGACGAUCAGUAGCGGGUCUGAGAGGAUGAUCCGCCACACUGGGACUGAGACACGGCCCAGACUCCUACGGGAGGCAGCAGUGGGGAAUUUUGGACAAUGGGGGCAACCCUGAUCCAGCCAUUCCGCGUGAGUGAAGAAGGCCUUCGGGUUGUAAAGCUCUUUCAGCUGGAACGAAACGGUACGCUCUAACAUAGCGUGCUAGUGACGGUACCAGCAGAAGAAGCACCGGCUAACUACGUGCCAGCAGCCGCGGUAAUACGUAGGGUGCGAGCGUUAAUCGGAAUUACUGGGCGUAAAGCGUGCGCAGGCGGAUUGUUAAGCAAGAUGUGAAAUCCCCGGGCUUAACCUGGGAAUGGCAUUUUGAACUGGCAGUCUAGAGUGUGUCAGAGGGGGGUGGAAUUCCACGUGUAGCAGUGAAAUGCGUAGAGAUGUGGAGGAACACCGAUGGCGAAGGCAGCCCCCUGGGAUAACACUGACGCUCAUGUACGAAAGCGUGGGUAGCAAACAGGAUUAGAUACCCUGGUAGUC
rnacentral:rRNA from 1 species